rnacentral:rRNA from 1 species
AGAGUGAACGCUGGCGGUAGGCCUAACACAUGCAAGUCGAACGGCAGCACAGUAAGAGCUUGCUCUUAUGGGGUGGCGAGUGGCGGACGGGUGAGGAAUACAUCGGAAUCUACCCUUUCGUGGGGGAUAACGUAGGGAAACUUACGCUAAUACCGCAUAAGACCUUCGGGUGAAGGCCGGGGACCUUCGGGCCUGGCGCGGAUAGAUGAGCCGAUGUCGGAUUAGCUUGUUGGACGGGGUAAAAGCCCA